ACUUUGUUAACACAGCCAAACAUCAAGCAAGUGCAACAAUACAAGACAUAGCAAGGCAGCUAAGUAAUAUUACUUACUAGUCCAACAGAAAGAAGCCCAGGUCGGCAUCUGUCUUUCAGCCUUUUAUCUUUCUUAGCUCUCGCCAAUGAGGAAAAGCCAGUCCAAUAUUUACUCUUUUCCAGUUUCUUGCUCGGCCACUCUCUCUUUCAGAGGUGGACAGUAACGAAGUACAUUUACUUGAGUACUGUACUGAAGUACACUUUUUUGAGUAUCUGUACUUUACUUGAGGAUUAUUUUUUUUGGCAACUUAUGACUUUAACUUCACUCUAUUUGAAAGACAAAUAUUGUACUUUUUACUCCACUAUAUUUCUAUCAAGGUCCUCAUUACUUGUUACUAUGAAGUGGCUUUGAAAGUGGAUGUUUUUUUCUUUUCUAAAAUGUGAUUGUUUUUUUCCGCAGGUGACACUGAGACAGUCUAUCAGUAAUCAGUAGGGUCAUGUCACCUUCAUAGACUGAAUAAAAUCAAGAUCAAUGAUUUCUCCGCAGCAUUAUAUAACACGAUCAGUUGAUGGCAGAAUGGAAGGAGGUGGUUCUUCUGGGGAAUGCACGCACCCACGGUUCUAUAGCUAGAACCCAUGUUUCAGUUUUCUGAAAGGAAUAAAGAGUUGUUUCAUUUUAAAUGUUUGCCUAAAACGGAACACAUCACAGCCUAUAAAAACUCGCCGUCCAACCUGCGGAAGCAUAUUGAGGGAUGCAAACAUUUUAUUCCAAGAGAAAGUUUGGAAUGAAGUUGUGUGUGCUUUUAGAGCUAGCAAUAAUGUUGCAAUACCUAAGCAGUCUGGUUAGUCAAAUGACUUUCUAUGGAUUUUUCUGCCAAGUUGCCAUAGCCUUGCCCAUGGUUAACGAUAACACAUAGCUAGUUAACUUGGACACUGUUAGUUAGCAUGUAAAAACGGAGUUACGCUAACAUGAAUAACAUUAACUUAUCUGAAGUGCUUUCAGAAAUAUGUUUUAGCAUAAUCUUGCCAAAUAAACAAAAUGUAGAAAUCUUUCUUUUCUAGUAACAUUAGCUACCCAAUAUGAUUUUGAGUUUGAAAAGAUUUUGCUAGCAUGUCAGGUGGAGCUUCACUGACUAGCUAGCUUAACAUUAAACCACCAUGAUUCCACAGGCAGAUUCAUACGUGUUUGAAUACAUACACUUGCACAGGCGCGCACGUGAGACCUGUGAGAUGGACAGUAUUGUACUAGUCAGUCACAACAAAUUGCUGGAUUUUUUUGUUUUGAUAAUCAGAUGAUGGUCUUGCACUUUUUUGUUUUGUCUUGCUUCAAGCAGUGUUGCUGUUGGGCAGUUAUUAAGCUCGAGGUGUGGACCUGGGUUUUAAGCAGGUUGGAUUGUCCUUUUUAUUUUCUGAGCAAGCUGCAUUUACAGCUAUUCCACUGUCUUCAUGAUUAACAUACACAUGCACGUGUGCACAUAGAUUUACAUAGAAGACUAGAUUCCUCACCGCGUAUUCCAGAACGUCCGCACAGGGCGGCCAUCUUACCACAGACAAGCUUUUCCACAGAAUUUGUGGUACACUGAGGUAAACUGAGACUCCACCACAUUGCCAAGAUGACAACCCUUUCCUUACAGAACAACAGCAUGAGACAGAAGCACAACAAAGCAGUACUGUUUAAAGGGCAUUAGCCAAAUAUACAGUGUAAAAAUUUUCAAGGGGUAUGAAGACUUACGCAAGCACAGCACAGCCCAGCACUCACAUUAUGAUUUACAGGAAAUCAAAGUACUGACUUUGAUGACAAGAUGAUGUGUGUGUCUGUGUAUGUUUUAACUGUAGAUGUUUAUAUCAGUAUGUUUAGUUUUAUUUUAACUGCACAUUGGAGUCUAGUCAAAUGAAAUUUUAGUCUUCUGUGCUAACAUAU